UUAAAGUUUGAUUCUUUCUUGAGUUUUUAUAUAUUUGUUGCAGUUGCAUGGGAAUUAUAGUAUGUAUAAACUUCUUUUUUUAAGAGAAAGAAACAUUAAAACAGAGAAAUAGAAAUUGUUCGUAAAGUAUAAAUGCUCAGCAUAUAUUAUUAAUUAAUUUAGGAAACUAAGAGUUAGCAGACAAAGCAGACCUGAUAAAACAUUGUGCCAGCAGUCGCGGUUAUACAUUAAGGUCAAGUAAAAAACAAAUAUUUUUUAGUUAAAUUUGAAAAAUUUAGCUAAUAUUGCUUAAAAAAUUUAGGGGUAAAAUCAGAAAUUUUCGAAGCUAAUAGCUAAAUAAAAUUGAAGCUAAAGAAGUUUAGACUUAAACUAGGAUUAGAUACCCUAUUAUACUAAAAAUAAAUUUUUAAAAGUUGAUUACUAUUAGAUAUGUUCUUAAAAUUUGAAGAAUUUGGCGGUAGUUUAGUCUUGUUAGAGGAACCUGUUUCAUUAAAUCGAUAAACCGCGUAAUAUCUUGCUUUCCUUUGUCAGGCAACUUAUAUACCGUCAUUAGCAGACAAUUUCAUAAGAAUUAAUUGUUACAAUUUAUAAGAUAUAAAUGAAAUUAGAUCAAGGUGUAGUCUAUAGGGAAGCUGAAAUGGGUUACAAUAAAAUUUGUUUAAACGUAUUUACGGAGUAAGAGUCAGUAAUGAAGGAGGAUUUAAUUGUAAUUAUAAAUCAACAUGUUAUUAUGAUAAUAGCACUAAAUUAUGUACAUAUUGCCCGUCGCUUUCAUUCAAAGAUGAGAUAAGUCGUAACAUAGUAGGUUUAUUGGAAAUUGAACCUAGAUUGGU
rnacentral:ncRNA from 1 species